rnacentral:rRNA from 1 species
AUGUGGACCUACGGGUUCCGGCUCUUGGAUUUCACCCCAAACGCAGUCGCUUGCAUGUCUGUGUUUGCCCACAUGUGCGAGAAUUUUGUUGGGGUUGUGCCCAACGUUGCUUUGUUCCGCCACUAUUUCAUUCCCCGCAUCGAAGGAGAUGCUCUCUUUGGAAGCAUCACCGGGACCCCCAGAGCAGGCAACAAGGAAAUAUACCUUGAGGGCCAGCUACACUUGAAGUGGAACGAAUGGCGGGAUGAUUGGUGCUGGAUCAAGGAAGAUGACUUCUCGGAUUUUUGCGCGCCUCGGACGCAGAAAGAUGAGCCGACAAGGACCAGAGCUACGUCGACACGCAUGAGGCAUGACGACAAACUCGCCCUUGCCGUCGACCGCAUAUUUCGCCUUAGGGCCGCCGACCUCACGAUUGAGAUGGUGGGUGCUGAUUUUCUCCAUCGCCGCAUUGCUCCCCUUCAGAAUAAAGGACGGUGUGCCCGAGACUUCAAAAAUGAUGCUGAUAUCAUGCGGCUGCACACCGGUCUUGUCAGCAACUUGACGGUCCUACAGCAUGCCAGCCUCUGUCACCAUCUCUUCUGCAUCACCGGCAAGUUCAAAUGCCGGCAACAGUGGUGCCCUUGUGCAACAACUCCGCCAAAGAUUCGAUCUUGGCGAUGA